rnacentral:rRNA from 1 species
UACGUAGGGGGCAAGCGGUUGUCCGGAUUUAUUGGGCGUAAAGAGCGUGUAAGGCGGCCAGGUAGGUCUGCUGUGAAAACUCGGAGGCUUAAACCCUCGAGAUGUCGAUGGAAACCGUCUGGCUAGAGUCCGGAAGAGGAGUGUGGAAUUCCUGGUGGUAGCGGUGAAAUGCGCAGAUAUCAGGAAGAACACCUAUGGCGAAGGCAGCACUCUGGGACGGUACUGACGCUGAGACGCGAAAGCGUGGGGAGCGAACAGG